rnacentral:rRNA from 1 species
UACGUAGGGGGCAAGCGUUAUCCGGAAUUACUGGGUGUAAAGGGUGAGUAGGCGGCAUGGUAAGCCAGAUGUGAAAGCCUUGGGCUUAACCCGAGGAUUGCAUUUGGAACUAUCAAGCUAGAGUACAGGAGAGGAAAGCGGAAUUCCUAGUGUGGCGGUGAAAUGCGUAGAUAUUAGGAAGAACACCAGUGGCGAAGGCGGCUUUCUGGACUGAAACUGACGCUGAGGCACGAAAGCGUGGGGAGCGAACAGG